GUUGGCUAGCCAUUCACAGUUCAUUUGCAAAUUUGACACCAUCAGCUCAGGAUCAAACAAAGACGGUGAAUGGCUAGUCAACUACAAAAGCAGUUUCUCCUCCCUGGGUGUUCACACCUCAACUGCUAGAAGAGGGCUUCAUCCUCUCUGAUUGAACUAAUUUCAUUAUCCCUAGCCUGAUUCUUGCUUGCGAAUUUAUACCUGCCUCUGGAAAUUUCCACUACAUGCACCCGACGAAGUGGGUAUUCACCCACGAAAGCUUAUGCUCCUAUACAUCUGUUAGUCUAUAAGGUGCCACAGGACUCUUUGCCACUUAGCAGUGGGUUACACUUAAGAACAUAAAAUAAGAACGGCCAUCGUGGGUCAGACCAAAGGUCCAUCCAGCCCAGUAUCCUGUCCUCUGACAUUGGCCAAUGCCAGGGGCCCAAGAGGGAAUGAACAGAACAGGUAAUCACCAAGUGAUCCAUCCUUGGUCGCCCAUUCUCAGCUCCAAAUUCAAGGGUUCCAUAGCCUGCACUGGAGCAUAGGGGAUUGUUCUCUCCCCUCACCCCCUCCGUAGUCCAAAUCACAGUCUACCCUAAGUGAUUAUACCUACAUUUAAAACAAACAAACACUGAGAACACAGCAGAGAAACAGGCAGUAAAAUAAAUGAAGAAAAGCCAGUAUUUUACCAUGGUGCUCAGUCUUGGUUCAUGUCUUUCUAAAUCUUUGUAUGCUUUUCCUGGAGUUUAUUAAGCAGAUGAGAGUGCUGAUUUGAUAACAAAGAAGUUGAACAUUUUCCAUUUGUGUUGCACAUGCUGUUUGGCUGGAAAUUGCAAAGGAGUGUCUUUACCCUCUGUUUUCUGAUCUUUGUGUAUGGGUAAAGGUCAGGAAAGGCUAGAAUUUUUCUACCUCCAAGAAACAGAUCUUUAAUAUUUGUUAAUUUCCUUAUCUUGUAACAGAUAAAAAUAAUAUUGAUGUGCCAUUGUUACUUUUAUGUAUUUUAUCUCAUCUAAUUUAGCUCAGGUACUUCUAGACUUCUCUUCACUGAAGUAUCUAAUCAGCAUCUUAUGCCUUGAGGAGAACCUGUAGCCCUUCUCCACUUAAAUACAUUUAUUUUUUGACUCCAGCAGUGUAGGCAGAAACUCUCAGCAAACUGAACAGAGUCAAGUGAUUCUUUGCCUGCAGAGACCCCUCCCGUAAUUCUGAUGUUUUUGACAGCAGAUAAUUGUCAAGUUGUUUCAGACAUGUUUCCAAGAUUAGAUGAAAAACUAGUGUAUUAUUUUGGUAUGUAAUUCUGUUGUUCCCUAACCUUCUCCUCUCCCACCCCCCAGCAACUAUCGGGUGUUCUCAUCUGAUCUCAUUUGGUCAGCAACGAAGUUAUUAACCUUGCCACAUAAAUUUUUAAUUCUUUCCUCUAAAAUGGACAUGGAGAAUAUUAGUUGUUUAGCUGUUGACACAUUUUCUUGUACUACUUCUUUUUUUUUUCUUCUGGUUUCUAUGUCUGUUUUUCUAAAGUUUACUCCUAUAUCUCUGUCUCUGGUAGUAUUAACCUAGCUUUAAAGAAAUCAGGCUUUUCUUGUUUCUUUGCUGGGCUAUUUUUGAUUAGCUUUUUGCUGCUUCAUUAUUAGUGCCUUAGAGGCACUUGGUAUCUUACCUAUUUAAUUCAAUCUAUUCUGUUGCGCUUUUGUCUGUUUCCCCCUUCAUAAUUCUUUAUCACUUUUACAGCUAGUUAAAAUAUUUCAAAAUUUUUGAAGGGGGGAGAAAAGGGUGUGUGUGUGGAAAAUGUAUAAUGAAUCUUUUUUUGCAGGCCCCUCCCCUGACUCUGUAACCUACUUUGGAACUUGUAGCAUUUUUAAAAAAAAAUUGAAUUUCAAAAAGGGGGAAUUGUUUCCAUAUGUAAAAAAACAAACCAAACCAAAAUAAUGAAAAUGCCCCUCCCCCCUUUUUAUAAUCUAUUCUACUUACUAUAGUUAACACAUUUCUACAUAACUUUUAGAUCUAUGAAGGGAAUGGGCACAUUGAUAAUCUGACCCAUGAGACAACAAAAUAAUCUUUCAGGAAACUGUCUGCUUGUUUUAGGUGAAAACAUUCUCUGCUUCCCUGAUCUUAGCUGACAACCCCUUCAGUGCAAUUGGAUCAGAAUACCUUUCAAAGGAUCAGAUUGUGAACCCCUCAUACCAGCUUCACUCACCCAGAACUCUAAAACCCAGUGAUUCACUGCAGAGUCAACAAAAGCCAUCAAUAUGCUCAUUAUCCAAACCAGGAACCAACUAAUAUAGAAGGCGGUGGAAUCUUGAUUAUAAUAAACAGUGAGGACAGUUCUCAGCAAAAGGGAGGAAAAAGAGGGGACUUGAGGAGCAAACAUUAGAGUCAGAAAUUCUGCUAGAGGUUAUCAUGAGGAUAACCCAUUCGACACUGUACUUGGCCAAGAGUGUAUGGAAUGUGCCAGUGCAUGGAUCUCCAACAUUGAGUAAUUCCGUAUAAAAAAGGAGACCGUCCAUAAGGGUGAGCAGAUGAACUGCUGAUAAACACUGUGAAAUGGAGCAGAUGCAGGAGUCACACCAAGGAUUCUUUAGUUCUAAUAUUUACUCCCCAGGAGGAGACAGAAUUAACUUGAAUUCUACACCUUCGAAACUGCAUAGGUAUGAAAUGCAAUGAUAACAUUAUGAAACUGAGUCACCAGGGAUGCUGCUAUGGAAGGAGCUGGAUAUUGCUUUAAGAA